UCAUGUGACUUUGCCUGUCUCAACUGCUUCUCAAUCAUUUAUUUCCAUUUCCGCCACCACCGUCUUCAUCAUCAUCGUUCCCCUACUUUUGCUACUUUAAGCUCCUCUUCUUCUCAACCACCCUCAUCAAGAGCAGUAACUCCUCCUCCUACUUCAGUAAGAUUUUGAAUUCUUACUAAGCAAGCCAAAAUGGGAGUUCACGGUCUAUGGGAACUACUAAAAAACACAGUCUCCGCAUUUGCUUGAACUUUAGGGCAAUAAUCUGAUUCUUGCCCUCUUUUUUCUCUCCUAAAAGACCAAAUCACGCAGCUGCCCCUUCAUCACUCUACCACCACUGUAUUCAACCCUCCGUGAAUACAAAUGGAUCAUUAAAAAGUUCCAUCCGCUUAUUCCAUCUUUAUCUUUUCAUCAAAAUCUCGAAAAUCGAAACAAUUCCGGUGUUUUGGAAAAUCAAGGCUGGAGUCUCGAAAAGGGCGCUUCUCGCCAGAACCCUAAUACAGGGGGUUUUGGAAAGAUACACCCAAAGAGCUCGAGAAUUAGCAUGCUUACAGUUCAUGCCAUAGGCCUUUGGUCUUGGGGUCCAUUUCUUUCACUUCGCUAGAUCUGCUAUUAUACAUAUGUUUCUACAACUAGGGUUAACUUCUUUUUAGACUGUUUUUCAUUUACAUUUAUCUAGUUGAUGUUUUUAGAAGAAAGUUCUAUUGUUCUUACAUUGAUUCUGUCAUUCAGAAUUUCAGGUUUGCUCUUUAUGAUUCUGCUUUGGCUGAAAUAAGGCUUAUUUACUUGAUCGAAUGGUCUACUGCUCUACUUAGCAGAUUUAAUUUUUAUCUUAUUUUGCUUAUGUUAUUAACUUGGAUUGUUUUUUAGUUGUUUCUCUUUUUCUUAUCUUAUGAUGCUUUGAGUUAUUCUGCCCUGAUUGAAAUAUGCCCAAUUUUUAUGUUUUGCUUGUAUGAUUUUAUGAAUAUUUGGACGCAAGUUUGUUAUCUGACAAAAGAGAUGAGAAUUUGGGAAUCGAGUUAUAAUUUAAUUUAUUAAGGAAUCUUCAGUGCUCAAUUUAGGGAUUUGAUUGAUGUUUUGCUUGUAUGAUUUUAUGAAUCUUGUGCACACAAGUUUCUUAUCUGAACAUAAGAGAUGAGGAUUUGGGAGUCAAGUAAUAAUUUCAUUUAUCAAAGAAAUAUCAAUUGCGCAUGUGCCAGUUUAUAAUUGUUGUAAUAUUUAUCAUUCAGCAGAUAUUUCCUUUAUUUUGUUUGAUUUUUUUUAUACUUUCCAAUUAUUUUCCCUUGGGUUAAGACUCUAAUUGGCGACAUGAAUCUGUUGGCAUUAUACUUAAGCUUAAGUUAAUAAUGGAAUUGAGUUGAUUGGAAUUUUGCAGGAUACUUAAUAUGGAAGAAAAAUGUCUCAUCGCAAAUUUGAGCUUCCAAGGCAUGGCUUUUUGGGAUUUCUCCCUAGGAAAAGAGCCUCCCGCCACAGAGGAAAAGUGAAGGCAUUCUCAAAGGAUGAUCCUACUAAGCCAUGCAGAUUAACUGCGUUCUUGGGAUAUAAAGCUGGAAUGACCCAUAUAGUGAGGGAGGUUGAAAAGCCUGGUUCAAAACUUCACAAGAAGGAGACAUGUGAAGCAGUUACUAUCAUUGAGACACCACCCAUUGUUGGCGCUGGUGCUCUCGACUACUCUCUGACAUGCAGGCUUUCAAGGUGAUUUUUUAGCACAAAGAAAAAUCCUCUAUCUUUACUACUGUUGUAGAUAUAUAUGGAUGCAAUAGAAAACUCUUCCUAGUUUCAAUGCAUAAUCUUUUUUUUUCUCUUUAACACUCGUGUUAGGCUGCAAAUCCUGGCUACACAUAUUACAUAUUUUAUUUUGUUCAUAUUGCAUAUGUUAUUUUUAAAUAAAAAAUUAUGUUAUUUUUUGUAUGUGUUUUAAAAUGCAAAUCUAAGUUUUAAGAUCGUAAUUUUGACAUUUAAAAAAUUUAAUAUACUUUGAACAACGUAAUGAAAUAGUUGUCGUGACAUCAUUAUCGAACUAUUCUAGAUGGCAGAAAUGAGAGUUUAGUAGAGCCAAGUGGUAAAAGAAUUGAAUUAUUAGUUUCUCUUGAGGGGUUAGAAUUAAAAAGAAAAUAAACAUCAAAUUACAAGUUUACAAUGCCUCUACCACCAUAUUACCCCUAUUGGAUGCACAAUAUUAUAAAGUAAAAUAUUUUGGUUUACAUUAGUAUGUAAUCUACAUGUUGAAUCCAACAAUUUAAUGUGUUAUUCUGCUGUCAGAUAGUACCUGGGUUUAGGGUCCGUAUCAUACCAGUUCUUGGUACCAUCCCUGUGAUAUUUGGAUAGGUUAUGGCCUCGUAUGUUGUUACACAACUUGCAGGGUUGGAUGUUCAACAGAGCUAGUGGUAUUACAAUUUACAGUAUUCUCUGUGCUGAAAACUUUUGCAAGUUAAUGAGCAAUUUUUCCUUGAAUAUUUAGGCAUUUUAAUUGAUGAUUCAUAUAUUAAUAUUUUUUGUUUGUAGCAAGAAUAUAUAAUAUAUGCUUUGCUUCUUCCACUGAGAUGAAGGGUGGUUUUUGGAUCAAAUUGGCUAAGACUUGGACAAAAUAGUGGAAGAACAUGACCUAUCAUACCAGAUGGCUCAACUAAGUUGAGGAAUACCAGAUUGUCAGCAUUAGCAUCCAUUUCUUCAUCUUCAUUUCUAGAAGCAUCAGAGGUUUCUUGAAGCUUUAAGGUUGUAUGGUUGUGGCUGGCGCUAAAUAGAAGAGCAUGUAGGCACUAAAUCUGCAGUUCAAGUUUGAAGCCAUGCUCAAAAGUUUUUCUCUAAGGCUCAUUGCUUUGAGUUCAUUACAAGAUUUCCUUGAUUAACUAAAGAAGUUGGAGAAAGUUUGAACGUGAAAAGGAAGAAGAGAGUAACGGAAGCAUAAUUGGUUUUAAUUUAUGCAUUCUAAUUUUUUUUAUAUCCAUUAUGUUUAUGUCUAAGUUGCUAGCUUAGAAAUUGUUUUUGUAGUAGUAGUGUCAUAUAUUUGGUAGGUAAAUGAUAUGAUGUGUAUGAAGCUCAAGUUGAUCUCCAAUGAACUAAGUGAAUGUUGUUAAUUGAUAUGUUUUCAUGAAGAUACUAGAUGAAAAUCAAGUUGCUAUUAAUUCGUUGAUA